AUGCAUAUCCAAUAGAAUACCAUAAAUAAACCUAUGCAUAAGAGUAACUGGACAAUGUGGAGCACGACAAAACCAGCAGCGUCGUGUCCUACCAAAAAAUUGCAGAGAUAAAUACAAAUACCUUCAUAUCAGGAUGCUCGGGUUCCUCCGUUGAUCCAUCAUCAAAAUUCUCUGCCGGCAAAGGCACCGGCGCCGAAAACAUUGUAGGGGCCGGUGAGAUCUUAGAUGGCAGACCAGCCUGCGAAACAAAACAAAACAGUUCAUUUUGCGCACUCAGAUCCAAUUGUAUCAUCACCUUCUGCUAUCCCACAUGCACGCUCAUCAUAACUUGUUUGAAUCGCCCGAAGCCCAACAUUGCAGUUGUGCCGCAUUUCAACUCACAAUUUAGGAUGAUUAUAUGUUUAGUUUUGCACAAAUGUUGAGCAAGAAUUAUGCAGGUAAAACCAGAUUUGGCUGCAUUAAAAUAGGCAAGGAUUAUCCGCUCACCAUCAGGCUACCAUCAGUUUAAUACUUUCAGCUCAAGCAUACGCUUGGCCAAUAAAAAUCUAUCCAUAUGUUUAGCUAUCUUAAUGAACUAGUUAGAAUAAUUGCAUGAAAAUGCAAGCAGGGAUUAAAUCCAUCAACGGUUCUACAUUUUUUUGAAAACUCCAAAAAAAUUGAAUAAUAGGGUGUGUCGGCAACUGGUUGCACAAAAUCCAAUCUCUUCAAACUAAGGGCCUCUUUGGAAAGCAAGAAUUUCACAGGAACCAUUUUAUUCCCCAUGGGAACAGGGAAAAUACCAUGUAUUCCGGACAGGGCUUACUUUGUGUAACUCUCUCACAAGCUAGACAUCAUUUUAGUUCUAUUCAGUGUUCACCAAGCCGCUAAGUACUAAUCAGAUGGACAAAGAGCAUCUCCAACCUGGCUGGUGCAUUACAAAGACAAGACUGGCAUCACCCCCUUAUACAUGCCAUUAGGACACUGGUUCUCUAGCAGUUAGAGCAGAUGAGAAAUAAAAUAAACCACAGUACCGGCAAUAUAGCAAGUUUACUACCAUAGAAUGCAGGCCAUCGGAACUUUGUAACCAGUGAUAAUAAUAAGGUAACAAGAGAAUGAUUUCCUGCUACAGACAUGCAUGCAUCUACAGUUACGGCAGGAGCAUCAUUCUAUCAAGUAUAGGACGACAACUAAUUAUUCAAUUAUCAGGGGAAUGUUGUUAAAUUGUGUCUCAAGGAAAUUCAGUGCAAGCAUCAAAUCGAUGCAGACAAUAUGAACAUGCAUGCACUGCACCUGUGUGCACCUAUCUGUUCUAAAACAUUCACAAAUAUGAAGCCUCUUGUGCUUUAACAACUAAAACCAGUACAAGAUUGAGCUAUCAAGAAACAGUUCA
rnacentral:lncRNA from 1 species